rnacentral:rRNA from 1 species
GACGAACGCUGGCGGCGUGCUUAACACAUGCAAGUCGAACGGAAAGGCCCUGCUUUUGUGGGGUGCUCGAGUGGCGAACGGGUGAGUAACCCUGGAUUACCUUGCCCUUGACUUUGGGUUACUUUCAGGAAACUGGGGCUAUUACCGGAUAGGAGCUCCUCCUCCAUGGUGGGGGUUGGAAAGUUUCGGCGGUUGGGGUUGGACUCGCGGCUUUUCAGCUUGUUGGUGGGGUAGUGGCUUACCAAGGCUUUGACGGGUAGCCGGCCUGAGAGGGUGACCGGCCACAUUGGGACUGAGAUACGGCCCAGACUCCUACGGGAGGCAGCAGUGGGGAAUAUUGCACAAUGGGCGGAAGCCUGAUGCAGCAACGCCGCGUGCGGGAUGACGGCCUUCGGGUUGUAAACCGCUUUCGCCUGUGACGAAGCGUGAGUGACGGUAAUGGGUAAAGAAGCACCGGCUAACUACGUG